rnacentral:lncRNA from 1 species
GGGGUGUCAAUGGGGACAUGAGUGGGGCAGCAGUGGGGCCAGCCAUGGGGUGACAGUGAGCAUGGCAGUUGGUGACAAUGGGGACAUGAAUGGGGACAUCUGUGGGGCAUCAGUGGGGCAUCAGUGGGGACAGCCAUGGGGUAUCAAUGGGGAAUCAGUGGGGUGUCAAUGGGGACAUGAGUGGGGACAUGAGUGGGGCAUUGGUGGGUGUCAGUGGGGCAGCAGUGGGGCAUCAAUGGGGACACAAGCAGGGACAUCAGUGGGGCAGCAGUGGGUGUCAGUGGGGCAGCAAUGGGGGCAGCCAUGGGGUAUCAGUGGGGUGUCAGUGGGGACAUGAGUGGGGACAUGAGUGGGGCAGCAGUGGGUGUCAGUGGGGCAGCAGUAGGGGCAGCCAUGGGGGAUCAGUGGGGAAUCAGUGGGGUGUCAAUGGGGACAUGAGUGGGGCAGCAGUGGGUGUCAAUGGGGACAUGAGUGGGGACAUGAGUGGGGACAACAAUGGGUGUCAGCGGGACAUGAAUGGGGACAUGAGUGGGUGUCAGUGGGGCAGCAGUGGGGCAGCCAUGGGGUGACAGUGAGCACGGCAGUGGGGACAUCAGUGGGGACAUGAGUGGGACACCGAUGGGAGUCAGUGAAGGCAUCAGUGGGGCAGCAGUGGGGACAGGAAUGGGGACAUCAGUGGGGACAGGAAUGGGUGUCAGUGGGGCAGCAGUGGGGACAUGAGUGGGUGUCAGUGGAACACGAAUGGGGACAGGAAUGGGACAUCAAUGGGGACAUCAAUGGGUGUCAGUGGGGACAUCGAUGGGGGCAGGAAUGGGUGUCAGUGGGGCAGCAGUGGGGACAUCAGUGGGGACAUCAGUGGGUGUCAGUGGGGACAUCAGUGGGGACAUGAAUGGGUGUCAGUGGGACAUGAAUGGGGACAGGAGCGGGUGUCAGUGGGGCAGCAGUGGGGACAUGAAUGGGGACAGGAAUGAGUGUCAGUGGGACAUGAAUGGGGACAUGAAUGGGUGUCAAUGGGGACAUGAAUGGGGACAGGAAUGGGGACAGGAAUGGGUGUCAGUGGGGCAGCAGUGGGGACAGGAAUGGGUGUCAGUGCGACAUGAAUGGGGACAGGAAUGGGUGUCAAUGGGGACAGCAAUGGGGACAGGAAUGGGGGCAGGAAUGGGGGCAGGAAUGGGUGUCAAUGGCGACAGGAAUGGGGACAGGAAUGGGGACAUAAAUGGGUGUCAGUGGGGACAGGAAGGGGUGUCAAUGGGGACAUCAUUGGGGACAGGAAUGGGUGUCA